rnacentral:snRNA from 1 species
AAAACUGUGACAAUAAAACCGUUCAAAAUAAAAAAUCUGUUCUUAUCAGUUAAAUAUCUGAUAUGUCCCCUACCCGGGGACUGCAUAUUAAAAGGAUUUUUGGAUCACGGAGCUGGAGCCGGGGCUUGCUCCGUCCAC